rnacentral:rRNA from 1 species
GACGAACGCUGGCGGCGUGCCUAAUACAUGCAAGUAGAACGCUGAAGGAGGAGCUUGCUUCUCCGGAUGAGUUGCGAACGGGUGAGUAACGCGUAGGUAACCUGCCUGGUAGCGGGGGAUAACUAUUGGAAACGAUAGCUAAUACCGCAUAAGAGUAGAUGUCGCAUGACAUUUGCUUAAAAGGUGCAACUGCACCACUACCAGAUGGACCUGCGUUGUAUUAGCUAGUUGGUGAGGUAACGGCUCACCAAGGCAACGAUACAUAGCCGACCUGAGAGGGUGAUCGGCCACACUGGGACUGAGACACGGCCCAGACUCCUACGGGAGGCAGCAGUAGGGAAUCUUCGGCAAUGGACGGAAGUCUGACCGAGCAACGCCGCGUGAGUGAAGAAGGUUUUCGGAUCGUAAAGCUCUGUUGUAGGAGAAGAACGAGUGUGAGAGUGGAAAGUUCACACUGUGACGGUAUCUUACCAGAAAGGGACGGCUAACUACGUG